CAUUCUCCUGCCUCAGCCUCGCGAGUAGCUGGGACUACAGGGGCCUGCCGCCACCCCCGGCUAAUUUUUUGAAUUUUUUUUUAGUAGAGACGGGGUUUCACCGUGUUAGCCGGGAUGAGUCUCGAUCUCCUGACCUCGCGAUCCCCCCGCCUCGGCCUCCCAAAGUGCUGGGAUUACGAGCGUGAGCCACAGUGUGCGGCCGGGAAAAUUUUCUUGAGUUCGAACUUCUUUUUUUGAAAUAUGCGCUGUUGACACCUGGCCUUAUCCCUUCAGGCCUUCACAGUUCAGGCCGUUUGGCCCCGCUUCUCCUCGUUGACUUUCCCACCAACAGUGCAUUGACCAGCACCACCGUCUGAGAACUCACAAAGGAUCUGAUUUACCUUCCUAGGAUUCCGUAUCACCUCUUCUUACACCAAGGGACCCAGUGCAUGGCAAAAGCUGUAUGAAAGUGGGCACAUGGCCACAGAACAGACAGGUUUUUCCAAGGAAGGCAUCAGCAGAAGCUGCUUGCUGGCUCUUUGCUAGAAGCACAGCUAAGGAGCCUGCCUAGGGGAGAUACCUGGCACGGUUGGCAUGCUAUACUGUUUUUCAUUGAGGUAAAAUUCGUAUAACAUAAAAUUCACCAUUUUAGCCAUUUUAAAAUACACAAUUCAGUGACUUUUAGUGCAUUCACAGGAUAGUGCAACCAUCACCACUAUCUAAUUCCAGAACAUUUUCAUUCAUUCAAAAGACACUUUAGACUCAUCCAGCAGUCAUUCCCAUUUUCCCCUCUCCUCAGCCCCAGAAAACAGCUAAUUUGCUUUCUGUCUGUAUAGAUUCACCUGUUCUGGACACUUCAUAUAAAUGAGAUCACACAAGUCAUGGCCUUUUGUGUCUGUCUUCCUUCCCUUAGCAAAACGUCUUUAUCCAAGUUGAAGUAUGAAUCAGUACUUCAUUCCUUCUUAUGUCUGAAUAAUGUCCUAUUGUGUGGAUAUACAAUAUUAUGUUUAUUCAUUUGGCUGUUGUGAAUAGUGCUGCUAUGAAAUUCUUGUAGAACUUUUUCUUUGAACACCUGUCUUCAGUUAUUUGGGGUAUGUACUUAGGAGCAGAAUGGCUGGCUCAUAUAGUAAUUCUGUUUAGCUUUUUGAAGAAUAGCCAAACUCUUUUUCCCAGCAGCAGCACCAUUUCACAUUCCUCCCUCCAGUUUCUCAACAUCUUUGCUAACAUUUGUUAUUUUUUGUUUUUAAAAUCAUAGCCAUUCUAGGAGCUGGGCAGUGAUAUCUCACACACCCUCCCUCCCUCCCUCCCUCCUUCCUUCCUUCCUUUUCCUUCCUUCCUUUUCCUUCCUUCCUUCCUUUCUUCCUUCCUUCCUUCC
rnacentral:lncRNA from 1 species